rnacentral:lncRNA from 1 species
CUGAAUCUAAUUAUAACCGUAAAAAUAAUCUGCUUCUUCCUCGUACUCAUCUGUAACUCCGCCGCCGCCGGCGACGACGCCACCACCUCCAUACCACCCCAAAAAUACACCAUGUAUUCCCCUACUUCCCCUCAUUCCAAAUCCAAGAUUAGUUUCUUUUGAAUCCUACUAGAACUCAUCAAAUCUUCUUCUAAAGUUUUCCGGCCAUGACGCAAAGUAGUCCAAAUCUCUCCAAAUUAACACCAUAGACUCUUCACACCACCCUCAUCAUAAAACACCAAUUGGGUUUCUUCGAAUCAUCCUCAGGCGCUUCGAAUUUUAAAGCAAAGUUGGCCGGAAACCUUAAAACCGGCCAAAUUGGUACUGCGUGGUCGUUCCUUCCCCCUUUCGUCUGAAUUAUGUUUCAAGCACCACCAGACUCCGCCAAUAGUGAAUCCAAAAGGCUUAAGUCAAGAUUGGGCAUGCUAAGGUUUCCAUCCUUGUUGGAAUUCAGGUUCUUAAUUGUGAGUUCUCUCCAUCCGUCGUUCAUUUUUUUUACUGUCAUUUUCCAUCUCUGUCUUCUUUGCCUCUUGAUAAGUUUCGUCGUGUUUAAACUUGUUUUAUUUGGAUUAUUUUUGUAUAUAUGUGUGUGUUAGUAGAUUAAUAGUUUAGCCUAGAUUUCUCCUUAGUUUUGCAUUUGUAUCUGUUUUUUCUCAGCUUUACAGUUUGUUUUGUUAAAUACUGGUAGUAAUUUGGUGAAACGACGGAUUCUUGCUCAUGUUUAGUGAUUUUGUUCGUUUUGUGAUUAUUAAGUCUAACUAGUUUAUUGGGGAUUAGUUCUUAAUUUGAUAGUGUAGUUUAGUUUAAGUAUAAUGUAAGCAGUCAAAUUGUUUGGUUGAUUGUUGUUUGUUAAAGCUAAAGUUCAUCUCUCAAAGCCUAGAGAAGGGUUUAGGAAUAGCUGUAUUAGACAAGUAAUUUUAAGGGCAAUUAGGGAAAUUCAGGGGUGUGGAAUUUAGCUCGAGUAUCCUAGAAUCUUCUAGAUAGGGGUAUACUUAGAAUUUGAGGAAGUUUAAGGCACUAACUUGUGUAACAAGUCUAAAGAAUGAGGGAUUAAACUGAAAGUGCACGGGGACAAUAAGGAAAACUGAAAAUUCUGUGCUCACUUCUUGGUUGCCUAUAAAAGGCAUCACAAAUGCCUUGUUGAGGGUCUUCCUUUCAGCUAGCUAGUUCCCCAAAAUCUCCCUCUAAUUUCGAGAUCUGUUUUUUUGAAAUUCGAACAUUCAAACCCCCCCCCCCCCAAAACAAUAGAAAAUCAUUAGAAAACAAAAAAAAAGUUUAGGAUUACUGUUCCAUUGAAAUUGGAGAUGGAUUUCAGCUUUUGGUUGUGACUUGCAUUUUGUAGUUGCUAUCUUUGUUUGUUGAAGCUUAGAGGUCCAUUUCGAGUGUAUUUGAAUCAAAUUAAGUGGGGUUUUUGGCUGAGUUUUGCAUCAGUGAAGUUCCAGAAGGAUUUUCAGUUCAGUUUUGAAUUAUUUUGGUCGAUUUCGAGUUGACAUUGGUAUUUCGAAUCUAGUUUGGGUGUUUGCUUGUUGUUUAUGCAUCAGUGUUCAUUUCUGGGUUGACUUGUUGCUGUGUUGGAGUGAAUUUGUUAGCUUUUGUUUGGUUUAAACAUUCCCGGGCUGUUUGAUUUUAUUGUUGGGCUAUUUGUGAUUAAUUGCUGAUUGACGUUGACCUCUUCUUCUCCUUCAUUGCUUUCUACUUCCAGGUACCUCCCUUGAUCUCAUGUAAGCUGUGAUGGAUCUUUGUAAUUCAAUUUGAAGGAUAAAUGAAGUUGAAGUGGAUCGUUGAAUUCACUUUACUGUGUUUGAUUUUAACGUGUUAGAACAGUCAUGUGUAAUUGACAAUUAGUGUUUUUUUUGUAAUAAUUGGACUCUAUGACUAUUAAUUUCAGAUUCAUAUGAUGUUGGUUCUCGUGUUAAUGAUUAAUAUUAGUUGUCAUGACAGCUUUUAAGCAUUGAUUUGUUUUCAAUAAUUG